rnacentral:lncRNA from 1 species
GGAUUCCUUGGGAAAAGAUUUGCAGGCAGACUGGUGCAGUAUCAGGAAUGUGAUAUGCGACAUACACUUAGCACAUGCUGGUUCCUUUCUCUUCCUUCUGUAAGUCAGCACUGACCUUCAGUCCCUGUGCUGACAUCCCUACCCCUGCCUCACUGCCUAUUUGAGGAACUUUCCUACUCAGUGGUGCCUUAUUGAAAUGGAGCAUAUUCCUGCCACCCAUAGGUUGGAGCACCCACCCCUGCUGGACAAGACCCUUCCUGGGGGGGCCACCUUGGAACUCUGAAUAGAGACUUGAAGAGUGAGGAAGACUAAGAGGCUGCUGCCAUUUGAAGAUGAAGUGUACAAUACAACAGGGAAUCAAGUGAACAGAAAGUGUUGAUGGGGAUCCCAGCAGAUAGCCAACAAAAGGGAACCUCACUUCUACAGCAGCAAGGAACUGCAUUCUGCCAAAAACCUAAUGAACUUGGAAGCAGAUUAUUUUCUGGAGUCUGUAGAGAGAUGAGCAGGAAGAGGGAUAUUAGAAGAGAGAAAGUGAAAACUGGACUGAAACAUUGCUAGCUGGGGAUCUUAGCCUCUCUUUAGGCAACUCACUCCUGGUCCUGUUCUCUGCACAUGUGGGAAUUAUAAUGAGCACCAAGCAGAAUGAAUGAAAAUAAAUCCAGACCAAGAACCACUGAAGAAACUGCAACCCACAAGAGAAAACUAGCCAGAGUAUCUGCACAGGAAGGACAAGGAGACUUCUCUUUAUAAUAACAGAACCCAGAAGACGACCUACAAGGUUCUGCCCACAGGGGAGAUUGUGACCUAUUGCUGGCCCCAACACCAAGUCGAAGUUACACAUUUGCCUUGGCCUUGCCCUGAGAAGGUGCUGUGACAUAUUGCUGGGCCCAGCACCAAGGUGAUGGGACUCUCCUCUUUCUCCUGGAACCUGUCCACAGUGGGGAUUGUGACAUAUUGCUGGGCCCAGCACCACUGUGAUGUGACUCUCCUCUCGUGCCUGGGGCCAGCCCACUGGGGUAAUUGUGACAUAUAACUGGACCUAGCCCCUAGGUUAUGUGACUUACCUCUCCUUCCUGAGCCCUGCCCACAAGGGGGCCUCAUGACAUAUCUCUGGACCCCUCACCUAGGUGAUGUGAGUCUCUUGCCUGGGCCCACCCCUCAGGGUGUAUAGUGACAUAUUGCUGGACCCAACACCUAGGUGAUGUGACUCUUUUCUACUGCUUGGCUCUGCCCAAGGAGAAAUUGUGAUGUAUCACUGGGCCGAGCACCUAGGUGAUGUGACUCUCCUCUCCUGCCUGGCUCCAGCCAAAAGGGGGGAUUGUGACAUAUCACUGGACCCAACACCUAGGUGAUGGGACUCUCCUCUUUUGCCUGGGCCCACAUAUUUUGGGUAUUGUGACCUGGGUGAUGGGAGCCUACUGCUUGAACCCUACCCAGAGGGAGCUUUGUGACAUAUCUCUGCAUCCAUCACCUAGGAGAUGUGACUCUCCUCUCGUGCCUGGCCCCAGCCAAAAGGGGGGAUCGUGACAUGUCACUGGAUUCAUCACCUAGGUGAUGGGACUCCUCUUUUGUCUUGGUCCCACAUACUGUGGGUAUUGUGACAUAAUGCUGGGCCCAACACCUGGGUGAUGGAAGGCUCCUGCCUGGGCCCUGCUCACAGAGAGCCUUGUGACAGAUCUCUGCAUCCAUCAUCACCUAGAUGAUGUGACUCUCCUGUUCUGCCUGCACCCUGCCCAUGGGGAAGAUUGUAACAUAUCCCUGGGUGCUGUUCCCAGUCUUGCCUCAUGGCCUUUGCCCCAGCUGUGUCCUCUGCCCUGCAGGAUGCACCUCUGCUCCGUGUGGCUCCCUCCCACUCUCACUCUCCAAAUGCCCCGAACCCCUGAGCCCCACUGCAGCCCCACUGUACCCUGGCUCUGCAGCGCUGCUUCUUCAUGAUGUGUGUCUUCCAACAGCAGACGGGGCCAUGAAUGUGGAUGCCUCAUUCACUGCUGUGUGCCGGCAUCCAGAGCAGGACUGGAGCCCAGAGCAGGCACCUGACUGAUAGUUGUUGAAUGAGUACAGUAAUGAAUGACAAUGAAAGCACUGUGUAGAAACACUGGCUGAAUAGUACCUAGAAAGAGAAUGUCUCAAAUACCUACAUUAGCAAUGAAAAAAACACUGCUAAUUAAUGAACUAAGCAUCUAAUUCAAGAAACAAAGCAACACAUCUAACUUAUAGAAAAAGUGAAAAAAAUAAAAAACAUAAGAUCAAAAACUG